rnacentral:rRNA from 1 species
GGGGGGGCGAGCGUUUACUCGGAAUUACUGGGCGUAAAGGGCGUGUAGGCGGCUCUGUUUGUCGCGGGUGAAAUCCCUAGGCUUAACUUAGGAAUGGCCCUCGAAACGGCAGAGCUUGAGUCCGGGAGAGGAAAGCGGAAUUCCCAGUGUAGCGGUGAAAUGCGUAGAUAUUGGGAGGAACAUCGGUGGCGAAGGCGGCUUUCUGGACCGGUACUGACGCUGAGACGCGAAAGCUAGGGGAGCAAACAGGAUUAGAUACCCUGGUAGUCCUAGCUGCAAACGAUGGGUACUUGGUGUAGCGGGUAUCGACCCCCUGCUGUGCCGAAGCUAACGCAUUAAGUACCCCGCCUGGGGAGUACGGUCGCAAGGCUG